rnacentral:rRNA from 1 species
ACGCUAGCUACAGGCUUAACACAUGCAAGUCGAGGGGCAGCAUGGUCUUAGCUUGCUAAGGCCGAUGGCGACCGGCGCACGGGUGAGUAACACGUAUCCAACCUGCCGUCUACUCUUGGACAGCCUUCUGAAAGGAAGAUUAAUACAAGAUGGCAUCAUGAGUCCGCAUGUUCACAUGAUUAAAGGUAUUCCGGUAGACGAUGGGGAUGCGUUCCAUUAGAUAGUAGGCGGGGUAACGGCCCACCUAGUCUUCGAUGGAUAGGGGUUCUGAGAGGAAGGUCCCCCACAUUGGAACUGAGACACGGUCCAAACUCCUACGGGAGGCAGCAGUGAGGAAUAUUGGUCAAUGGGCGAGAGCCUGAACCAGCCAAGUAGCGUGAAGGAUGACUGCCCUAUGGGUUGUAAACUUCUUUUAUAAAGGAAUAAAGUCGGGUAUGGAUACCCGUUUGCAUGUACUUUAUGAAUAAGGAUCGGCUAACUCCGUGCCAGCAGCCGCGGUAAUACGGAGGAUCCGAGCGUUAUCCGGAUUUAUUGGGUUUAAAGGGAGCGUAGAUGGAUGUUUAAGUCAGUUGUGAAAGUUUGCGGCUCAACCGUAAAAUUGCAGUUGAUACUGGAUAUCUUGAGUGCAGUUGAGGCAGGCGGAAUUCGUGGUGUAGCGGUGAAAUGCUUAGAUAUCACGAAGAACUCCGAUUGCGAAGGCAGCCUGCUAAGCUGCAACUGACAUUGAGGCUCGAAAGUGUGGGUAUCAAACAGGAUUAGAUACCCUGGUAGUCCACACGGUAAACGAUGAAUACUCGCUGUUUGCGAUAUACAGCAAGCGGCCAAGCGAAAGCGUUAAGUAUUCCACCUGGGGAGUACGCCGGCAACGGUGAAACUCAAAGGAAUUGACGGGGGCCCGCACAAGCGGAGGAACAUGUGGUUUAAUUCGAUGAUACGCGAGGAACCUUACCCGGGCUUAAAUUGCAGAUGAAUUACGGUGAAAGCCGUAAGCCGCAAGGCAUCUGUGAAGGUGCUGCAUGGUUGUCGUCAGCUCGUGCCGUGAGGUGUCGGCUUAAGUGCCAUAACGAGCGCAACCCUUGUUGUCAGUUACUAACAGGUUCCGCUGAGGACUCUGACAAGACUGCCAUCGUAAGAUGUGAGGAAGGUGGGGAUGACGUCAAAUCAGCACGGCCCUUACGUCCGGGGCUACACACGUGUUACAAUGGGGGGUACAGAGGGCCGCUACCACGCGAGUGGAUGCCAAUCCCCAAAACCUCUCUCAGUUCGGACUGGAGUCUGCAACCCGACUCCACGAAGCUGGAUUCGCUAGUAAUCGCGCAUCAGCCACGGCGCGGUGAAUACGUUCCCGGGCCUUGUACACACCGCCCGUCAAGCCAUGGGAGCCGGGGGUACCUGAAGUGCGUAACCGCGAGGAGCGCCCUAGGGUAAAACUGGUGACUGGGGCU